CGGCCCUCUGUCACGAGCUCAAAAGCAGACAGAGACAUAAGGCAAAGCUCAAAUCGCCUUUCAUCUCACUUCUUGGCUGAGGCAAUUCCUGAAAUGCACUGCUCAAUUUGCAUGUGGACAUAGAGCGCCAACUAACACGAAGACAAUUAGCAACAAACUGUGACCAGAACUCAGACUGAGGCUCAGCGAGGACUGCCUUGUCCUCAGCCUGGAGAAAGUGCUGCACCUACAUAACUCCCACUACGGGGCUCUUGGGCCCUCAGCACAGAGGCUGCUAAACAGUGACAAAUUGAUGACAAACCAUUACUGAUAGUUCUGCAAAAAGGUUCCUAUGACUCUUGGCCACAGCCCCCUGGCAAUAUACACACUUCUGCACAUCCGCUUUCAAAAGGAGCCAUUACAUGCACUCAUCCAUCUGACCCGAGAUGCAAGACACAGCUAGGCGAGGGUGACACCCUGCAUCAAAGGUGGCCAAGGAUGGGUGUCAAGCUAGGAGAGCAGAAGGGAAAGAUAUAUGUGAUAGAGAGCAGAGCUCAUGUUGCUAAGAGUUAACCAGCACAGUACGUGCCAGGAGCAAUAACUUCUCCCCAUGAACUGUGACCAGGAGCAAUGCCAGCAAGUGUGCACAGCAAAAGAAGUCACGGCUAAGAGAGAUGGAAGAGAGGGAAUCACCUGAUCCUCCCCCCGGUGCACAUCUCUGAAGAUUUAUCUCAGCACCACAUCCUUAAUUCCUUGCCCAGUUUCCAAGAACUGGCCUUUCACAGACAUGCUAGAGAAAGAAAAUGAGUUUGUCUAGUAUCUUUACUUCCAGCUCAUGUUUGCAAAGCUCCCUGAGAAGAAAACUGCCAGACUCCACAAGUGAUCAGUGUUAUCACACUUGAUCCAUAUGUGCCUUGAGCUUGCUGCCCCUCCUGGGACCAACAGCCAUCACUGCAGUCCUGAAGGGAUGGUGGCACUACUUUUUACUAAAAGAUCUCUCAACAGUGCUCAGCCUCACUUCCUCGUUUACAACUGGAUGAAUUUGAAAGGCAGAGUCACUUUUGCAAGAUCCAAGAACGUGACUGGGAACACAACAGCAAAGCCCCAAACCCUGUUCCUCUCCUCUGUCUGCUGUGCAACCCUCUUCUCUCCCUCUGGGCACAGUGGAGCUAGGUCACCACCUUCCACAUACAGACUAAUAUGUAAGUGACUUCUCUCUCAUGCAUUUAUGUAUGUAAAUUAAGACAUAUUUUAAACCAGGUUGUGAUGAUCCAUAUUACGUACAAAUACUGUAUCUAUCGAAACCAUUCGAAUCCAGCUUUUUUUUUUAAGUAACAUUUAGAGAAGGAUGUGUUUGCUGCUGAAGUCUUGAAGCAAAUCAAACCUUGGAACUGACAGCAGUUACGGACUACACUUCUUAAACCAGGACUGACUGACAUCCUACAUCAGCCUGCAGUAGCAGUCUCUUCUGCCAGGC